rnacentral:lncRNA from 1 species
AAUUUGGCAUGGUUAUUUGUCAUUCCUAUUAACUAUUUUUAACAUACUAUGAUUUGGACAUACUAAUUCUAAUCUGAUAUAAUAUUUAGAACAGAUAGUAUAUGAAUUUGGCAUACAGUGCUAAAGUAAAGCUGAUUACAAAAGUGUCUUAUUUUUUUCAUAUGUAGUUCAAUAAGGAACAAUUGCUUCUUUCUGUGGAGAACCAUCUCAUAAUGGUGAGAGGCUGUGUGUGUCUUACCACAUUUCCAGACGCAAGUACUCAUCCGUCAUCCAUCUUGCAUUUAUAAGCACAUCCUAAAAGUGAUUAUUAGGCCCAAACCCUUGGGACUGUAUUACUGACUGGAAGAGGAUCACUAGGCGAAAUGGGAAUUAGUACUAAUCCCUGCAAACGUGGCCCUAGACGAUAGUCUGCUGCAUGCCUGUAAAGACAUAAACACAAGAGCUAGCAUGAGUGUGAAAUAUGUACACUCAAUACUUUUGUCUGUAAUCUAAACAGGCGUAACUUGAUUUGAUUAGCACAUUAAAAAAAAUAAAUAAAAAAAAUCAAUGCAGCAAGAAACAAUGGUGAAGACAGAAUAACUAAAUGUGUUCAUUUAAUAACCACUUAGGUUCAUCCAAAUUACCCAAGGAAUUAUAAAACCCCUCAUUUUCCUAAGCGGCACUGUCUAAGUAAGUGUUUAUGGUGGUUAUGGACCUGUAUGUGAUUCUUUAUGAAGUCAGACUAUUAUGGAACAACUGAGAUGGCUCAGUAAACAAACUUUGUCACUUUCUUUCAUUUCCUCACUCUAUAUCCAUUUUCAUGUUCGUUGAUGAGGUAAAACCUUUCUAUAGCCGUCUAUAUUUCCUAAUAUUCUGGUAAUUAUUGCAAGCUUUAUUGUAAAUCUCACCCUUUACCAGAGGUCACAAUCGGACGUAAAGCUGUGUCACGUGACUCCGUAAGCAGGGUUUGUUUUGCAAAUCUGAGCACCGGUGACGGGACGCGCGUGAAAUGCAUCCGCGGGACAGAGUGUAUUCAUAAGACGCUAAAGCCGCUCAGCUCUUAUUACAAGAAUAAAGGAAUUCUGACAGGCCUCCCAUGGCCCAGAGAGAGAAGAACGAGUAUACAAACCCACACUGACCCAAAGAAACAACGGGUGUGGUGGCACAUUCCAUCCUGACAGAAAUGGCAAACACAAGUUGGGAGUUGUGCUCCAGUGCAGCGGACCUGGAACCAAAGCUGAAUCAGAGGCCAGGAAGACUCGACCUUGCUGAAACGGCUGCAUGGUAGCUUACCUUCACACAUACACACACUGCACACUUUCGCCCCCCUGUACAUUGUGUGAAUGUAGACAUUGUUUCAUGCCAGUGAGGUGGAAGAGGAGGCCUGUAUACAGAUAGGGGUGAAUGGGUGGGUACAUCAGUUUCAUGGGGAUUUCUUCAGGCUGUCUUAAGGGAUUCUUAAAAAGAAGGGAAGGGUUUCAAAUAAAUAAAGAUAUAGGUAUUAUUAUUAUGCACUUUGUUUCAGAGUUGUUAUAUGUAAAUAUUCUCUAAAUGUAAAUUUAUAAUUGUGAUUUGUGUUCUAGGCCUGUGAUUUGUAGACCUGGAAAAGUCUUAGAAAUUAUUAGAAUCUUAAAUAAGUCACAGAAUUUUUUAUUUAUUUAUAGUAAAUAGAAUAUAUAUUUAUAUUAAGUAGCACAUUUGUUAACAAUAGGAAGUACAUUAAGUAUCAAUAACAAACAAUAAUUUAACAACAUUUAUUUAGUACAUAUACUAAUAGAAUUCAGAAUUAAUUUUAUUAAGUUAAUAAAUAACAUGAUUACCAUUGAAUGACAAUAUAUAUAAAUUAACAUUAACCUAGAUUAAUAAAUGCUGCAAAAAUGUUUAUUGUUGGUUCAUGAUUCUUGAAUUGAGCAAAUUUAGGUAAAAUUGAGUUCAUGAGACCAUGAACUGAAUUUAGUUAAAAUCUGCUUUAUUGUCAAUUCUGCUAUGAAAUAAAAAAAGUUUGUUUCAUUGUUAGAACUUUUGUGUGUGUGGGUGCAAUCUAUAUAGAGUUAUUUUGUUUUUAAAUCCGGAUGGGCUUGGCUCAUAAAUAUUAAUUAAAUGAUGUAAGGUUCACCCAGUAAUCCUAAAUGAAAGAUGAGGGCUAACCAUAGUUGAUUACCACUUACUAAUUGCAUGUUUAUGCAUUCUACUGCCAAAGCGACUGUCUGUUGGAGACCUUUGCUUCAUUCUUAUUUUCAUGGUGGUUGAAAUCUUUGACAAAUAAGGAUUAUUUCACAAAAAGUAGGGGA